rnacentral:rRNA from 1 species
GAUUGAACGCUGGCGGCAGGCCUAACACAUGCAAGUCGAGCGGAUGAAGGGAGCUUGCUCCUGGAUUCAGCGGCGGACGGGUGAGUAAUGCCUAGGAAUCUGCCUGGUAGUGGGGGAUAACGUCCGGAAACGGGCGCUAAUACCGCAUACGUCCUGAGGGAGAAAGUGGGGGAUCUUCGGACCUCACGCUAUCAGAUGAGCCUAGGUCGGAUUAGCUAGUUGGUGGGGUAAAGGCCUACCAAGGCGACGAUCCGUAACUGGUCUGAGAGGAUGAUCAGUCACACUGGAACUGAGACACGGUCCAGACUCCUACGGGAGGCAGCAGUGGGGAAUAUUGGACAAUGGGCGAAAGCCUGAUCCAGCCAUGCCGCGUGUGUGAAGAAGGUCUUCGGAUUGUAAAGCACUUUAAGUGGGGAGGAAGGGCAGUAAGUUAAUACCUUGCUGUUUUGACGUUACCAACAGAAUAAGCACCGGCUAACUUCGUG